GAAGGUGUAAUUCAGUGGUUGAAUAUUUGCUUAGCAUGUGCAAGAUUCUGGGUUCCAUCCCCAGCACCUCA
rfam:Ictidomys tridecemlineatus contig005013, whole genome shotgun sequence.